rnacentral:rRNA from 1 species
AUUGAACGCUGGCGGCAGGCCUAACACAUGCAAGUCGAACGGUAGCACAGAGAGCUUGCUCUCGGGUGACGAGUGGCGGACGGGUGAGUAAUGCCUGGGAAACUGCCCGAUGGAGGGGGAUAACUACUGGAAACGGUAGCUAAUACCGCAUAACGUCUUCGGACCAAAGUGGGGGACCUUCGGGCCUCACACCAUCGGAUGUGCCCAGGUGGGAUUAGCUAGUAGGUGGGGUAAUGGCUCACCUAGGCUACGAUCCCUAGCUGGUCUGAGAGGAUGACCAGCCACACUGGAACUGAGACACGGUCCAGACUCCGACGGGAGGGAGCGGUGGGGAAUAUUGCGCAAUGGGCGCAAGCCUGAUGCAGCCAUGCCGCGUGUAUGAAGAAGGCCUUCGGGUUGUAAAGUACUUUCAGCGGGGAGGAAGGCGGUGGAGUUAAUAACUUCACUGAUUGACGUUACCCGCAGAAGAAGCACCGGCUAACUCCGUGCCAGCAGCCGCGGUAACAC